AUUGAACGCUGGCGGCAUGCUUUACACAUGCAAGUCGAACGGUAACAGGUUAAGCUGACGCGUGGCGAACGGGUGAGUAAUGCAUCGGAACGUGCCCGGUCGUGGGGGAUAACGCAGCGAAAGCUGCGCUAAUACCGCAUACGAUCUGAGGAUGAAAGCGGGGGACCGUAAGGCCUCGCGCGAUCGGAGCGGCCGAUGUCAGAUUAGGUAGUUGGUGGGGUAAAGGCUCACCAAGCCAACGAUCUGUAGCUGGUCUGAGAGGACGACCAGCCACUCUGGGACUGAGACACGGCCCAGACUCCUAUGGGAGGCAGCAGUGGGGAAUUUUGGACAAUGGGCGAAAGCCUGAUCCAGCAAUGCCGCGUGCAGGAAGAAGGCCUUCGGGUUGUAAACUGCUUUUGCACGGAGCGAAAAGGUCUCCUCUAAUACAGGGGGCUCAUGACGGUACCGUAAGAAUAAGCACCGGCUAACUACGUGCCAGCCGCCGCAGUAA
rnacentral:rRNA from 1 species